AUGUUCUCUGUAGCUCUGCUGCUGCUGCUGGCUGCUGGAUCCUGUGUGUACAGUAUUGAUCUGAUCCAGCCAGACUCAGUGGUUGUGCAGCCUGGACAGUCUUUGUCCAUCACCUGUCAGCCCUCUGGCUAUGCCUUGACUGAUAGCAGCUAUGCAACAGCUUGGAUCAGACAGCCUGCAGGGAAAGGACUGGAGUGGAUUGGAAAGAAAAAUACUGGCUAUGAAUACUACAAAGAUUCACUGAAAAACAAGUUCAGUAUUUCCUUAGCCUCUUCCAGCAAGACAGUGACUCUAACUGGACAGAAUGUGCAGCCUGAAGACACUGCUGUGUAUUAUUGUGCC